rnacentral:rRNA from 1 species
UAGGGAAUCUUCGGCAAUGGACGAAAGUCUGACCGAGCAACGCCGCGUGAGUGAAGAAGGUGUUCGGAUCGUAAAACUCUGUUGUUAGAGAAGAACAACGACGUUAGUAACUGAACGUCCCCUGACGGUAUCUAACCAGAAAGCCACGGCUAACUACGUGCCAGCAGCCGCGGUAAUACGUGGGUGGCAAGCGUUGUCCGGAUUUAUUGGGCGUAAGUCGAGCGCAGGCGGUUUUUUAAGUCUGAUGUGAAAGCCCGCGGAUCAACCGGGGAGGGUCAUUGGAAACUGGGAGACUUGAGUGCAGAAGAGGAGAGUGGAAUUCCAUGUGUAGCGGUGAAAUGCGUAGAUAUAUGGAGGAACACCAGUGGCGAAGGCGGCUCGCUGGUCUGUAACUGACGCUGAGGCUCGAAAGCGUGGGGAGCAAACAGG